GCGCGCCGCGCGCCGCGCUCACGUGACCGGCGGCGGUGCUAUAUAAGGGCGCGCGGGCCACGCAGCGGUCUUUUCGACCCGUGGUGCUGCUGGGUGGGAGCGCUCGGUGCGGCCCCGCCGUUUAAGAUGUGUCAACUACACUCUUCCCCCUGUCGUGGCUGCAAAAUGGAUCUGCCACUGAAUGUGGAGACUUGAUGCUACUUCACAAGGAUUUGAGUUGUACACUUGGAGGACUUGCAGGAGAAGCAUCACCUGACACUGGGAGAUGAAGCUAUAAGCUGUGCAAGGCUGCCCUGGACAGAGGAUACCUGUGCCUCCAGUGUGAGAAGCUUUCACCUGUUACUGAUGUUGGUGAAGCCAAGGCCUUCCUAAUUGAAGGCUUCCAAAGUGUUUUGCAUUGUGAUGGCUGGUGUGGUGGAGCAGUGAAGUGGUACAAUUGGUAGUGCUACCAGUAAAAAUCUGAGUGUGGGAGAACUGCUGGAUACUUUGACAGAUGCUUCUUACUUGGAAAGGACUGUCCUGUCUGUAACUUCAUUAGGUGACGAGGCAACUUUAAAUUCCUGUAUGAAGAACUGAGAAGGUGGAAGAUUGCAAAACAGUGGGUUACACUUGCAUGAACAGCAUUAAAAAAGCCAAAGGUUUUUUUACCACACUGUUAAUGUUUGCCUGAUGCUGAUUGGAACCAAUAAAAACUUGUAAACUCUA